AUUUUUCUACUUUUGCUCACGUCAAUUCGUCAGGAAAAGUUUUCAUUCUCCCACCAGUUUUUCCCACCAGUUUUUUUCCCUUUUUUGGACCAAAAAAGAAUUUAGAAGGACAUCAACUUAUGACAUAGAAACCGGGAAACAGAAAACACUUGUUCCAUCUCUCUUUCUUUUGGAACAACAACGACAAAGAAGCACUUCUCCAAAUCUGUAACUCAUCUUCAUCUAUUUCAAUAAGAGAGACAACACGAUGGUCUAAGGUGAUGUAAACAUCAAAUAAUCCUUCAAUUUUGUCUUGAAUCGGUUCCCUUUCUCCAAAUCCCCUUUCAAUUUUGUCUUUAAUUGGUUCCUUUUUUUAAUUUUUAUAGUGGGUAUUUUAUUUAUCUCUCCCUUUCUCUGUUCGUCGAAACCUAGGAAGAUGCUUCAGUUCUUGUGCCCGGGGAUAUAAUCAGUAUAAAAUUUGGUGAUUCUGGUUCUGGUAAUGAUUUGGGGAUGCUAAUUGGGGAUGCUUCACUAUACGAUUGAGUUCAAUUGGGGAUGCUAAUGAUAUGGCUGAUUCUAGUAACGAUUUUAGGGGUUUCAAGGCUGCUAGUAGGGAAGUUCAAUGCGUAGGCGCAUUAUUUGCUUUGUUCGAAUUUCUUUUGGACUGUUGUGUGCUUUUAGGAUUUCAUUUGUGGGUGUGAUGCUUUUGUUGAUCUUAAUGUUGAUUUUUGGUGAAAAGGAUUCUUUUUCAUGUUCGUUCGCAAAAGCAAUUUGGGAAGCUUCGAUUGAACUUUGUGUUUCAUUAUUUUUCAUGUUCGCUCGUAGUUUCGGAUUUUUGAACUUCGGCUCUGCUUGAUCAUGCUUUUUAUGCCCAUUCUUGUCGGAUUUCUGGUUUCUUGAUUUUAGUUUGUUCUACCGUGUUAGUUUUUGUCAGUGUUUUAGAAAAGGAAAAUUGACGUUUUAGUUUUGUUGUAAAUUAACAAUGGACCUUUUGUUUUGCUUUUGUGCUCAUAUUCUGUAUUUGCAGCUGUUGCUAAAAAAAUUGAUUCAUGUAAUUGGCAGUGAUUUAUGUAUCUUUUUGGUGUUGUCUUGGUGAAAUGCUUGUAAUAAGCAUAGCAAUUACUUGUUUUCUCGUUUUCUAUGGUAUAUGUUCUAGAUCUUCUUUCACAUGUAGAUAUGGCUUUGAGAUAAGUUUCCGACUAAAUGAGGAAAGGUGCAAUUUUGAAUGGUAAACAUGCGGCCAAAUUGCCAAUCACAUGCCAAAUUAUGAACUAGAGCUAUAAGUUGGCAUUUGCAGAUGGUAGUGGGUGUGUCUUCAGGAGUUGGGAGAAUUUGAUUCACAAUUAUAUACCAUUUUAAAAGGCUAUGCUAUGUGCUCAGUAAUUAGACUAGAGAGGAUGAUGCUUCAGUGCUAGAACUUAGUGCAAGAGGAUACUGCUAUAUUAUUUGUGAUUUAAGUAAGUCUCAAUCAACUUGCACAAUGGUGAUCUUUGUACUAGUUUUCUAGUUCGAGUAAGAAUAAGUACUUUGUAAUAUCUGUUUUGCUUGCUUUCCUGGAAUUUAAGUUUUCUCCUGAUUCCCAUGCGUAUAUCUAUGGCUAAUAUACUGAUAUUGUUUGACAUGUAACUGGUUUUGGUUUCCUCUUUUUAUUUCCUCUAGAUUUGUUUCUGGUCCUUUAUUCCUGUAUAUGAAGUUAUGAGUCAUGCCCUUGCAGCAAAUUUCACUGCUUCUGGAGAGCAGUAAAUUGGAGAUAAAAUAUCUCUUGGAAUGGAAGGGAACCAUGGAGAAAGGAAUUACUGACCUUGAAUCAUGGAAAGAAACUUAGAAAUUAUCAUUGAGCAGGUGACUGCUUGCAAGCUGUGGCGGCAAGUUGGAGAAUCUUUUAAUCCUCCAAAGUUUGGGAUGAACUUGUGGAUUGAUUUUGGCUCAUGCUGAAGAACUCCUCUAUUUUGAUAUCAUCCAUCUCUAGUUUUUGUUGACCAUGGAAUUGAAGUCCAUCUUUUGGUUUUAGCAUAUGUUAGGUAUAUGGCAGUUAUCUAGGGAGAAAUAGCAAUAUUUAUAUUGGUUUCAAAUCGUGGAAUGGGAUGAUAUGUAAAUGUUUGACAUGGUUAACUUUUGUGGUUUGACAUAUUAUGGUUGCCUACUAAUGAUAAUUUGUGAAGUUUUGGUUGAUA